rnacentral:rRNA from 1 species
CCAGGAGAGCUUGCUCUCUGGGUGACGAGCGGCGGAUGGGUGAGUAAUGUCUGGGAAACUGCCUGAUGGAGGGGGAUAACUACUGGAAACGGUAGCUAAUACCGCAUGACCUCGCAAGAGCAAAGUGGGGGACCUUCGGGCCUCACGCCAUCGGAUGUGCCCAGAUGGGAUUAGCUAGUAGGUGGGGUAAUGGCUCACCUAGGCGACGAUCCCUAGCUGGUCUGAGAGGAUGACCAGCCACACUGGAACUGAGACACGGUCCAGACUCCUACGGGAGGCAGCAGUGGGGAAUAUUGCACAAUGGGCGCAAGCCUGAUGCAGCCAUGCCGCGUGUGUGAAGAAGGCCUUAGGGUUGUAAAGCACUUUCAGCGAGGAGGAAGGGUUGAGUGUUAAUAGCACUGAACAUUGACGUUACUCGCAGAAGAAGCACCGGCUAACUCCGUGCCAGCAGCCGCGGUAAUACGGAGGGUGCAAGCGUUAAUCGGAAUUACUGGGCGUAAAGCGCACGCAGGCGGUUUGUUAAGUCAGAUGUGAAAUCCCCGAGCUUAACUUGGGAACUGCAUUUGAAACUGGCAAGCUAGAGUCUUGUAGAGGGGGGUAGAAUUCCAGGUGUAGCGGUGAAAUGCGUAGAGAUCUGGAGGAAUACCGGUGGCGAAGGCGGCCCCCUGGACAAAGACUGACGCUCAGGUGCG